GUGCUUGCUUUGGUAGCACUUAUACUAAACUAGAAUGAUACAGAGAUUAGCAUGAACCCUGUGUAAGGGUGACAUGCAAAUUAGUGAAGUCUUCCAUAUUUAA
rnacentral:snRNA from 1 species